GAUUAAGUUAUUAAGGGCGCACGGUGGAUGCCUUGGCACUAGAAGCCGAUGAAGGACGUUACUAACGACGAUAUGCUUUGGGGAGCUGUAAGUAAGCUUUGAUCCAGAGAUUUCCGAAUGGGGAAACCCAGCAUGAGUUAUGUCAUGUUAUCGAUAUGUGAAUACAUAGCAUAUCAGAAGGCACACCCGGAGAACUGAAACAUCUUAGUACCCGGAGGAAGAGAAAGAAAAUUCGAUUCCCUUAGUAGCGGCGAGCGAAACGGGAAGAGCCCAAACCAACAAGCUUGCUUGUUGGGGUUGUAGGACACUCUAUACGGAGUUACAAAGGACGACAUUAGACGAAUCAUCUGGAAAGAUGAAUCAAAGAAGGUAAUAAUCCUGUAGUCGAAAAUGUUGUCUCUCUUGAGUGGAUCCUGAGUACGACGGAGCACGUGAAAUUCCGUCGGAAUCUGGGAGGACCAUCUCCUAAGGCUAAAUACUCUCUAGUGACCGAUAGUGAACCAGUACCGUGAGGGAAAGGUGAAAAGCACCCCGGAAGGGGAGUGAAAUAGAACCUGAAACCGUGUGCUUACAAGUAGUCAGAGCCCGUUAAUGGGUGAUGGCGUGCCUUUUGUAGAAUGAACCGGCGAGUUACGAUUUGAUGCAAGGUUAAGCAGUAAAUGUGGAGCCGUAGCGAAAGCGAGUCUGAAUAGGGCGUUUAGUAUUUGGUCGUAGACCCGAAACCAGGUGAUCUACCCUUGGUCAGGUUGAAGUUCAGGUAACACUGAAUGGAGGACCGAACCGACUUACGUUGAAAAGUGAGCGGAUGAACUGAGGGUAGCGGAGAAAUUCCAAUCGAACCUGGAGAUAGCUGGUUCUCUCCGAAAUAGCUUUAGGGCUAGCCUCAAGUGAUGAUUAUUGGAGGUAGAGCACUGUUUGGACGAGGGGCCCCUCUCGGGUUACCGAAUUCAGACAAACUCCGAAUGCCAAUUAAUUUAACUUGGGAGUCAGAACAUGGGUGAUAAGGUCCGUGUUCGAAAGGGAAACAGCCCAGACCACCAGCUAAGGUCCCAAAAUAUAUGUUAAGUGGAAAAGGAUGUGGCGUUGCCCAGACAACUAGGAUGUUGGCUUAGAAGCAGCCAUCAUUUAAAGAGUGCGUAAUAGCUCACUAGUCGAGUGACACUGCGCCGAAAAUGUACCGGGGCUAAACAUAUUACCGAAGCUGUGGAUUGUCCUUUGGACAAUGGUAGGAGAGCGUUCUAAGGGCGUUGAAGCAUGAUCGUAAGGACAUGUGGAGCGCUUAGAAGUGAGAAUGCCGGUGUGAGUAGCGAAAGACGGGUGAGAAUCCCGUCCACCGAUUGACUAAGGUUUCCAGAGGAAGGCUCGUCCGCUCUGGGUUAGUCGGGUCCUAAGCUGAGGCCGACAGGCGUAGGCGAUGGAUAACAGGUUGAUAUUCCUGUACCACCUAUAAUCGUUUUAAUCGAUGGGGGGACGCAGUAGGAUAGGCGAAGCGUGCGAUUGGAUUGCACGUCUAAGCAGUAAGGCUGAGUAUUAGGCAAAUCCGGUACUCGUUAAGGCUGAGCUGUGAUGGGGAGAAGACAUUGUGUCUUCGAGUCGUUGAUUUCACACUGCCGAGAAAAGCCUCUAGAUAGAAAAUAGGUGCCCGUACCGCAAACCGACACAGGUAGUCAAGAUGAGAAUUCUAAGGUGAGCGAGCGAACUCUCGUUAAGGAACUCGGCAAAAUGACCCCGUAACUUCGGGAGAAGGGGUGCUCUUUAGGGUUAACGCCCAGAAGAGCCGCAGUGAAUAGGCCCAAGCGACUGUUUAUCAAAAACACAGGUCUCUGCUAAACCGUAAGGUGAUGUAUAGGGGCUGACGCCUGCCCGGUGCUGGAAGGUUAAGAGGAGUGGUUAGCUUCUGCGAAGCUACGAAUCGAAGCCCCAGUAAACGGCGGCCGUAACUAUAACGGUCCUAAGGUAGCGAAAUUCCUUGUCGGGUAAGUUCCGACCCGCACGAAAGGCGUAACGAUUUGGGCACUGUCUCAACGAGAGACUCGGUGAAAUCAUAGUACCUGUGAAGAUGCAGGUUACCCGCGACAGGACGGAAAGACCCCGUGGAGCUUUACUGUAGCCUGAUAUUGAAAUUCGGCACAGCUUGUACAGGAUAGGUAGGAGCCUUUGAAACGUGAGCGCUAGCUUACGUGGAGGCGCUGGUGGGAUACUACCCUAGCUGUGUUGGCUUUCUAACCCGCACCACUUAUCGUGGUGGGAGACAGUG
rnacentral:rRNA from 1 species